UACGUAGGGCGCAAGCGUUAUCCGGAAUUAUUGGGCGUAAAGAGCGUGUAGGCGGCCAGGUAGGUCGGUUGUGAAAACUGGAGGCUCAACCUUCAGAGGUCGACCGAAACCAUCUGGCUAGAGUCCGGGAGAGGAGAGUGGAAUUCCUGGUGUAGCGGUGAAAUGCGCAGAUAUCAAGAGGAACACCUGAGGUGAAGACGGGUUGCUGGGCUGACACUGACGCUGAGGCGCGAAAGCCAGGGGAGCAAACGGG
rnacentral:rRNA from 1 species